GCAAGUCGAACGAACUCUGGUAUUGAUUGGUGCUUGCAUCAUGAUUUACAUUUGAGUGAGUGGCGAACUGGUGAGUAACACGUGGGAAACCUGCCCAGAAGCGGGGGAUAACACCUGGAAACAGAUGCUAAUACCGCAUAACAACUUGGACCGCAUGGUCCGAGUUUGAAAGAUGGCUUCGGCUAUCACUUUUGGAUGGUCCCGCGGCGUAUUAGCUAGAUGGUGGGGUAACGGCUCACCAUGGCAAUGAUACGUAGCCGACCUGAGAGGGUAAUCGGCCACAUUGGGACUGAGACACGGCCCAAACUCCUACGGGAGGCAGCAGUAGGGAAUCUUCCACAAUGGACGAAAGUCUGAUGGAGCAACGCCGCGUGAGUGAAGAAGGGUUUCGGCUCGUAAAACUCUGUUGUUAAAGAAGAACAUAUCUGAGAGUAACUGUUCAGGUAUUGACGGUAUUUAACCAGAAAGCCACGGCUAACUACGUGCCAGCAGCCGCGGUAAUACGUAGGUGGCAAGCGUUGUCCGGAUUUAUUGGGCGUAAAGCGAGCGCAGGCGGUUUUUUAAGUCUGAUGUGAAAGCCUUCGGCUCAACCGAAGAAGUGCAUCGGAAACUGGGAAACUUGAGUGCAGAAGAGGACAGUGGAACUCCAUGUGUAGCGGUGAAAUGCGUAGAUAUAUGGAAGAACACCAGUGGCGAAGGCGGCUGUCUGGUCUGUAACUGACGCUGAGGCUCGAAAGUAUGGGUAGCAAACAGGAUUAGAUACCCUGGUAGUCCAUACCGUAAACGAUGAAUGCUAAGUGUUGGAGGGUUUCCGCCCUUCAGUGCUGCAGCUAACGCAUUAAGCAUUCCGCCUGGGGAGUACGGCCGCAAGGCUGAAACUCAAAGGAAUUGACGGGGGCCCGCACAAGCGGUGGAGCAUGUGGUUUAAUUCGAAGCUACGCGAAGAACCUUACCAGGUCUUGACAUACUAUGCAAAUCUAAGAGAUUAGACGUUCCCUUCGGGGACAUGGAUACAGGUGGUGCAUGGUUGUCGUCAGCUCGUGUCGUGAGAUGUUGGGUUAAGUCCCGCAACGAGCGCAACCCUUAUUAUCAGUUGCCAGCAUUAAGUUGGGCACUCUGGUGAGACUGCCGGUGACAAACCGGAGGAAGGUGGGGAUGACGUCAAAUCAUCAUGCCCCUUAUGACCUGGGCUACACACGUGCUACAAUGGAUGGUACAACGAGUUGCGAACUCGCGAGAGUAAGCUAAUCUCUUAAAGCCAUUCUCAGUUCGGAUUGUAGGCUGCAACUCGCCUACAUGAAGUCGGAAUCGCUAGUAAUCGCGGAUCAGCAUGCCGCGGUGAAUACGUUCCCGGGCCUUGUACACACCGCCCGUCACACCAUGAGAGUUUGUAACACCCAAAGUCGGUGGGGUAACCUUU
rnacentral:rRNA from 1 species